rnacentral:rRNA from 1 species
AACGAACGCUGGCGGCAUGCCUAACACAUGCAAGUCGAACGAGAUCUUCGGGUCUAGUGGCGCACGGGUGCGUAACGCGUGGGAAUCUGCCCUUUGGUUCGGAAUAACAGUUGGAAACGACUGCUAAUACCGGAUGAUGACGAAAGUCCAAAGAUUUAUCGCCAGAGGAUGAGCCCGCGUAGGAUGAGCUAGUUGGUGUGGUAAAGGCGCACCAAGGCGACCAUCCUUAGCUGGUCUGAGAGGAUGAUCAGCCACACUGGGACUGAGACACGGCCCAGACUCCUACGGGAGGCAGCAGUGGGGAAUAUUGGACAAUGGGCGAAAGCCUGAUCCAGCAAUGCCGCGUGAGUGAUGAAGGCCUUAGGGUUGUAAAGCUCUUUUACCCGGGAUGAUAAUGACAGUACCGGGAGAAUAAGCUCCGGCUAACCCCGUGCCAGCCGCCGCCGUAA